GAGGCUGAGGCAGGAGAAUCACUUGAGCCCAGGAGGCGGAGGUUGCAGCGAGCCGAGAUCACGCCACUGCGCUCCAGCCUGGGAGACAGAGCAAGACUGUCUCAAACACAACAACAACAACAACAACAACAAAAAACAAAAAGCAAAAGUUAGCCGGGCGUGGUGGCGCGCGCCUGUAGUUCCAGCUACUCAGGGGGCUGAGGCACGAGAAUUGCUUGAACCUGGGAGGUGGAGGUUGCUGUGAGCCGAGAUCACAACACUGCACUCCAGCCUGGGCGACAGAGCGAGACUCUGUAUCAAAAAAAAAAAAAAAAAGAAAAGAAAGAAAGACACAAUGACAAAGGCAGAGUUCACCUACAGAGGGAAUGACAUCAAUACAUUAGGAAUAUUUUUAAUACAUUAAAUCCCUUUGGGGUGUUUUUGGACACCUGGCUUGUCAUACUAUGAACAACAGAAUUUCCUUAAAAAGUUUUUAUUUUAGAGACAGGGUCUCGCUCUGUUGACCAGGCUGGAGUGCAGUGGCGCAGUCAUAGCUCACUGUAGCCUCAAACUCUUGAGCUCAACUGGUCCUGCCACUUCAGACUCCCAAGUAGCUAGGACUACAGGUGUAUGCCACCACAACCAGCUAACUUUUACAAAAUAUUUUUUGUAGAGAUGAGGGGGACUCGCUCUGUGGCUCACGGCCGUCUUGAACUUUGAAUACCUGGCCUCAAGCUAUUUUCCUGCCUCGCCCUCCCAGAGUGCUGGGAUUACAGGUGUGAACCACCGCACCCAGCCCUCAUUUAUUUGAUUUCUUCAGAGAGGCUCAUCUGUUCCUAUAUUUAGAAAUGUGGAACUUUUCCAAAGAAGACAACCUUCAUUUUUUUCAUACGGGCUUUCAAAAGAAUGUGAUGUCCUUUUGGUGUUUUAGAUUCUCACCUAUGAGGUAUAAACAAAUCGCCUUGCAGACAAGUCUCAACACAGAACACAUGCUGCUUAUCACUGGCAAAGACUUGCAUCAGCCUGCCACCACGGCUGGCUCAUCUUGUCCCUCCAGGCCUGUGCCUGCUGGAACACUCCCACUCCCCAUGUCUGAAUACACCACUUCGGUUGGACCAAGAGUUUCCAGCUCGGGUGGCCCCUCCUUCCCUGGAAAUAAAUAGCUGCCUAUAGAAUAUCAGAGUCAUUCUGACUCAGGGGUGACUCAGCUCUUCCAUGACCUGUGUUCCCACUUCUCCUUGAUAAGGCCAAUGUUUUGGCCCUACUGGUGAAAAUAUGUAGACCUAACAUCUAUCUCCCUGCUCCAGUUUCAAGAGAAAAGACCUUAUUCAGAGAAAUAUUUAGAAGACUCUUGUGGAAUUCUUGCUGUGAGUGGUUUUUCCUUCCCUGCCAUUGGUGCGACUGUUUCCCCCUUCCGUCAAAUUGCUGUCUAGAUGUUUCUCUCUGACCCCAAUUUUCUCGGAGUUUGGGAUUAUCAAUCUAAAAUCAGAGGCAGGGAGGAACUUGGAUUGUCCUUCAGUAAAAUUCCACUUUGAUGCGCAAAGCGAACUUGAAUUUCUGCUUGGCCUACCACAGGCCUGCAACAUGCACUUUCUCCUCGAGGGAACUGCCACUCACUGACACGGACAACAGUAAAGGAACUUGGUCUUCACUAUGCCUCAUAGUGGUGGGUCACACUGCCCAGGAGGAACCCGCAAUGAGACCGGCAAAUGCCUUAACCAUCUCAUUGUCUCAUCAGGAAGAAGCUUAAAUGACUCUUCUUGCUCACAUACUUCCUGGGCAAACAUGUCUGCUCUGUUGGGAUAAAGGACGCUCUAGACCAGGCUCUGCUGAAAGAUCCAGGGCAAAGGUUCCUGACAAGACUAUGUCCAGCCUCAAAUAAGGCCACAGAAGAGCCCAGGCUCGCUGACGAGCACCGGCUCCGAGGCAGUCACAUCAGGAGACAGAAACAGACAUGUUGGUGCUGCCCUCUCAGGUCAGUGCAAAUGCCACUUGAGGAGGGCUGAGAGCUUUGCAGCAUAAAAUGACCAGAACAAGGAGAAACACAGAUGCAAUGGCAAUAGCUGGCAAUUCGCACAUGGCGUCAAACACCACUGCCACAGAAGCUUUUUAGCUACAAGCCACGCUAUGCAACCUUUAAGCAAAACAUUAUUGAUUUUGUGGUUGUAAAAACAUACCUUCAACUGCAGAACUCAGUUUUAUGACACCUUGAAUAAAAACAAAAAGUGGCAGUUAUAUAAUGGACCCAAAUCGCCUUUUCCAGGCUUCUCAUAACACACGCAUGCUUCAGAUUUGGAUUUUUCUUUUUCUGCUGGCAUUGCAAGAACGUAACUAAACAAAUAUCAACUUCAAAAAUAAAAUAAUUUUUAGUCUUAACUAGGUCUCAUGGAUGUCUUCUUUUCCCCCACUAAAACCAUUUGGGGAAAUUUUUCACUAAAAAUGGGAUCAAACAUGUUUUUGGAUGGGACAAAGGCCAAGUCUGCCUGAGUGACUAUUUCUGUGUAUAAAUUAUACCAGAUUAUGGAUCAAUAAAAGUUCACACAAUAGGAUGCUAGGGACCAGCACUUCCUCUUUGAUACUGUAUCUAGAGAUCAUCUGAUGCAUGUUAGGACAGAGUUUCUGUUGAAACAUGUAACAGGUGGUUAAAAACCAUGGUGUGAUCUGGUAACUUUCUUCUCUGGGGUGGUUGGGCCAGAGCCCUUUUCUUGGUCUGAUGGGUUUAGAUUUCAGCUCCCUCAAGUCAGAGAGUGAACGGGUUAUCUGAGCAAGUCAAGUUGUUCAUGAAGCAAGUCAGUACCCUUGACUGAUAUUUAUGCACCUUUGCAGUGAAUUUUUUUUUUUUUUGAGACAGAGUCUCGCUCUGUCACCCAGGCUGGAGUGCAGUGGCGCAAUCUCGGAUCUUGGAUCUCGGCUCACUGCAACCUCUGCCUCCUGGGUGGACGCCAUUCUCCUGCCUCAGCCUCCCGAGUGGCUGGGACUACAGGCGCCCGCCAGCACGCCCGGCUAAUUUUUUGUAUUUUUAGUAGAAACAUGGUUUCACUGUA
rnacentral:lncRNA from 10 species